rnacentral:rRNA from 1 species
GAUGAACGCUGGCGGCGUGCCUAAUACAUGUAAGUCGAGCGAACGGACGAGAAGCUUGCUUCUCUGAUGUUAGCGGCGGACGGGUGAGUAACACGUGGAUAACCUACCUAUAAGACUGGGAUAACUUCGGGAAACCGGAGCUAAUACCGGAUAAUAUUUUGAACCGCAUGGUUCAAAAGUGAAAGACGGUCUUGCUGUCACUUAUAGAUGGAUCCGCGCUGCAUUAGCUAGUUGGUAAGGUAACGGCUUACCAAGGCAACGAUGCAUAGCCGACCUGAGAGGGUAGUCGGCCACACUGGAGCUGAAACACGGUCCAGACUCUUACUGGAGGCGGCAGUAGGGAAUCUUCCGCAAUGGGCGAAAGCCUGACGAAGCAACGCCGCGUGAGUGAUGAAGGUCUUCGGAUCGUAAAACUCUGUUAUUAGGGAAGAACAUAUGUGUAAGUAACUGUGCACAUCUUGACGGUACCUAAUCAGAAAGGCACGGCUAACUACGUG